GUUGCACAAUUUCUUGCUGAUAAAUGUGCAGCCUUUUCCUCAAAUAUUUUGAACAUCUGAAAAACGUCCUUCAGUUGAGAUUUUGAAAAGAAUGCCUCAAAGACGGACGCCAUUGAAGUUCAGCAUGGAAUAGUAAAAGGUUUGGCAAAAUGCUCAUCAAAGUCCAGUACCGUGGACUAAAAAAAGUACCUCAAACUGCAUCCUGGUUUUUCUUAUGAAAGUUUCAUUGAAGAAGAAUUUGUGCCAGCAGGUUCUUCUACUCUAAUUUCUUCAAGUGAUAUGGAGAGGUCCUCUUCAAACAAGGCACAUCAAUCUCCUGGUGCAGGAGAGAACACCUCUGCCAUAGGGGAUGCAGCAGAAAAGGCCAAAUGGGUGAGCAAAUAAAAUUAAAAUCUCACUAGGAGAAAUCCUUGUCUG